UCGAAGCAGACGGAAAAAAAAUCUAUUUUACCAUGAAGAUGAAUGUUCAUUUUCUUGAGUUUCCAUCAAUUUUAAGUAAAAAAGGUUUGAAGAGUGCAGUAAUUAAGAAUUUGAAAUAAAGGUCUUUGACU